rnacentral:pre_miRNA from 1 species
AAUAAGUACAAUCUUACACUCUUCAUAUCCAACGUUUGACUAUUCGUCUUAUUUGAAAAUCUUUUAUGAUUAGUAUUUUUAUUGCUUUUAGAUGAUAAAAUAUGAAUAGUAUUUUAUGUGUGAUUUUUUUCAUUUUUAAUUUUUUUUUAAAUAAUAAGACGGACGGUCAAACGUUAUAUAUCUAUACUCUAUACUCUCAAC